GCCAGGACUACUGCUCCGAUUCCUACGCCUCCGUGCACAAGCCCAAGAAGCGCAUGGACCAGCACACCGAGUCCCCGUACCACGAGGUGAGCGGGCUGCCGGAGCCGUACGCGGUGGGCGGGGGGUGCGCGGAGGGCGAGGAGGGCGGCGCGGAGGAGAAGCCGCCGCCGCUCUCGCUCAGCUACGACGAGUCGCUGGAGUCCGGCUACUCCACGCCCAACUCGCGCGCGCGCCGCGUCAUCCGCGAGAUCAUCGUCUGAACACACACCAACACACCAACACACACCAACAUGCACCGCACAUCAUUCAAUAUUCACUAUAUUCAAUACUACAAUACUAAAAAAUACAUACGCGGUAAUAAAAUAUUCUGAAUAUUGAAUAGUAAUUUUAUAAAUUGUAAUUAAAUGAAAAAUUGUCAAUAACAGACAGUUUCUCAAUAUGCAAUUAUUGUCAACAGAAUUGAAAGUUGAUUUGUAAUAUUUGUAUACAAAAUAAUGAUGCCAUGAUUAUAGUUGUUUUAAACAACCUAUUUAAUUGAAAAAAAAAAAAAAAAAACUAGAUUGGAUAAUU